rnacentral:rRNA from 1 species
UGAGUAAAGUGGCGCACGGGUGAGUAACACGUGGAUAAUCUGCCCGGUGACCCGGAAUAACAUCCCGAAAGGGGUGCUAAUACCGGAUAAGCUCACGAGAUCUUCGGAUCUUGCGGGAAAAGGUGGGGACCUUCGGGCCUACCGUCACCGGAUGAGUCCGCGGCCCAUUAGCUAGUUGGUGGGGUAAUGGCCUACCAAGGCUUCGAUGGGUAGCUGGUCUGAGAGGAUGAUCAGCCACACUGGAACUGAGACACGGUCCGGACUCCUACGGGAGGCAGCAGUGGGGACUUUUGCGCAAUGGGCGAAAGCCUGACGCAGCAACGCCGCGUGAGGGAUGAAGGCCUUCGGGUCGUAAACCUCUGUCAGAGGGGAAGAACCGUCGGUGGGAUAAUACCCCAUCGGCCUGACGGUACCCUCAGAGGAAGCACCGGCUAACUCCGUGCCAGCAGCCGCGGUAAUACGGAGGGUGCAAGCGUUGUUCGGAAUUAUUGGGCGUAAAGCGCGUGUAGGCGGCCACUUAAGUCUGGUGUGAAAGCCCUGGGCUCAACCCGGGAAGUGCAUCGGAUACUG